rnacentral:sRNA from 1 species
GUAUAGCCCCGACAGUAGUGGCAUCCUUUUUGUUUUUAAGCCCCUUUUUUUGGGGCUUAAAAAUAAAAAGAUAUAGCGAAUGGCGGGUUGGAGU